GGAGGGUGUAGCUCAGUGGUAGAGCACAUGCCUAGCAUGCAUGAGGUCCUGGGUUCAAUCCCCAGUGUCUCCA
rnacentral:tRNA from 1 species